GUCGAUCACAAGGAACUUGUAGCCGUCGGGCGAGGUGAGCAGAGAGCCCCCUUCCGUCUUGUCGAUGGGGUACGAGUGCUGUGCGGCGCGUGGCAAUAUUUCGGUAGAGUGGAUGGUGACUCCGCCGAAAUCGUUACCUGUGCUGGUCACGCCGUAGUUGUAUGUCAGCUCGAUGACAAAAUGGGAGCUCUCCGGACCGUAGCCGACCAUGGUCUUGCUCCACCGAUUGUCAUAAGGUCUGCAAGGGAUUUGGGGAAGGACAACGUUUUCUCUGAUUCUUGUUGCCAGUCGCCAGCGACUUACCCAUUGCAUUCGGCAUCGCAACCUUCUUUAAAUUCCUCGUGACGCAAAACCUGUUUGGCCCAGACAGACAGAGACAGCAUUAGUUGUCGGGAAAAUUUACAGAGUCAUUACCGCUAUCUGGCAUCUGGGCUUUUAAUUAGUCAGUCAGCAGCCACUGAUUGCCAAUUGCGUUGUUCAGAUAAAAAAAACCUUGUACCCCGCAGCGAUAACGUUGGUUGGUCCGCAGAUCCUAUUCGCAAAUCAUAAGAAAAAUACCCACCUUCAUUCCCAGGAUGCUUCGGAAGAAGAAGGCGUUCUUGGCCCGAUCUCCGAUCUUGAACACAUAGUGCAGGGCACGUCCCGGUACUGCUGCCAUUAUUGCCCUUUGAGUUGUGUUUCGAAAUUUAGAAAUGAAAA